GCGCAGCAGGCGAGAAAACUUCACAAUGUGCGAAAGCACGAUGAGGGAAUCCCAAGUGCUUGCACGUAAGUGUAAGCUGUUUCUCUGUCUAAAACGCAGAGAAAGUAAGGGCUGGGUAAGACGGGUGCCAGCCGCCGCGGUAAUACCUGCAGCUCGAGUGGUGACCGUUAUUAUUGGGCCUAAAACGUCCGUAGCCGGUUUAAUAAAUGCCUGGGUAAAUCGGACCGCUUAACGGUUCGAAUUCCGGGUAGACUGUUAAACUUGAGACCGGGAGAAGUUAGAGGUACUCCUGGGGUAGAGGUGAAAUUCUGUAAUCCUAGGGGGACCACCAGUGGCGAAGGCGUCUAACUAGAACGGGUCUGACGGUGAGGGGACGAAG
rnacentral:rRNA from 1 species